rnacentral:lncRNA from 1 species
UUUCAAUAAGGGCGGAAUCAGUUAAUAUUAAAUAAAAACCUUUUUAAAUAGAAUAUAACUCCAAAAGUACUAAACAAUCCAUCCCCAAAAUCCGGUGUCACUGAGUGCAUGAGCAUCUAACUGAUAACAAUAUCAGACUAAUAAAACAUUGUCUGAAAUAUAAAACAGUACAACAUGAAAGGAAAGGAGAGUCAAGGUUAGCGAACGUCAUGCAGCUACCUCAAUAGUCUCCUGAGUCUGACUCCUCAAUCAACAACCCGUGACCAAAAGUGCCUGGAUCUGUACAGGAGGUACAAGGGGUAACGUGAGUACACCAACUCAGUAAGUAACAGAAAUAAAUAAGGAACUGAGAAUUAGUGACGAGCUAUGCAAAUACAGUUAUCUCAAUAACUUUCAAUUUAACAGUUUAAGUCUCAUCAGGGCAUACUCAAGUAAAUCAGAUAUCGAAUAUUCGAGAAAUAUGUAUGACAAGAACAAAUAGCAACUAAGUUCAGUAAUUAACUGAAAACAAAAACGGCCUCUCAAGGUAACAGUCACUCAUCUCAUCUCAAUAGCUCAAUCACACGGCUCUCAGCCCUCAAUAAUCAUACUCAAUAGGUACUUGCGCUUACUGGGGGUGUACAAACUCCGGAGGGGCUCCUUCAACCCAAGCGCUAUAAACUGCACAGACAACUCACGUGUUGCACGGACAACUCACGUACUAUAAUAAAAUAUUUGGAUCCGCACGGACAAGUCACGUGCUGCACGGACAACUCACGUGCUAUAAUAAAAUAUCUGAAUUCGCACGGACAACUCACGUGCUAUAGUAUCAAUAACCUCACAAUUAGGCCCUCGGCCUCACUCAGUCAACCAUCUCUCCAGUCUCCCAGGCUCUCGGAAAUCAUAUAAAUAGCCCAAACAAAAGUAAUGUCAUGUAUCAACAAUGAACAGCAAGAGACAAGGGCAUAAUAAACAAGAAAAGCUAUGACUUAGUACAAAACAACAACUAGCAGCUAAUUCAGCAAGUACACGACCUCUCAGGUCUCACCAAUGAUCACAUAAGGCCUAACAUGAUUUCUAACAUGAAGUACAGUCAAUUUCCAUGAAAAACAGAGGAAACAUAUAUUAAACAAUAGGCCAGUUGAUUCCACAGUCUCACGGGACGAACCAAGUCACAAUCCCUACGGUGCACGCCCAUACGCCCGUCACCUAGCAUGUGCGUCACCUCAAAAAAAUAGUCAUACGACAUAAUAUCUGGGGUUUCAUGCCCUCAGGACCAGAUUUAUAACCGUUACUUACCUCAAUCCGAGCAAAAUCCUACUCUGCAAUGCCUUUGCCUCUCAAAUAAAUCUCCAAAUGCCUCGAAUCUAGCCACCAUAAUUCGAUUCAGUCAAUAAAAAAUAUAGGAAUUAAUUCCAUAUGAAAUUCUACAUUUUUUAUUAAAAAUCCGAAAUUACACUAAAAUUCGCCUAUGGUCUCGGAACCCGAAAAAAAUUACGGAAUAUGAACCCCCAUCCAACCACGUGUCCAACCAUAUAAAUUUUACCAAAAUUCGACAACAAUUCGGCCUCCAAAUCAUCAAAUCUUAUUUUCAAAUCCCUAUGCCCAAAUUCGCGAUUUAUACCUCAAAAAUACGUAAUCUAGCCAGGAUAUUCAAUAAUAAUUCAAUAAUAUUGACUAACAAUGAUCACAAGGGACUUACCUCAAAAAUUCUCAUGAUUUCUCGCUCAAAAUUACCAAAAUCCAAGCUUGAAAAUCAAAAAAAAUGUGAAGAAACCCGGACUGAUUGUCCUAUAAUCUGUCCAAAAUUUGGGGUACUAUUCACGCGUUUUUUACGGUUCACGGGGCACGGUUCACGGGGUACUGUUCAUGGGCACUGUUCAUGGGGUACUGUUCAUGGGCACUGCUCACGGGAUGUUCAUGGGCAUUGUUCACGGGACUAUUCAUGAUGCUGUAAAAAAAGGCAGCAGCUGCCCAAAGAGAAUUUCAACAACUUUUUUCUACCCGUUAACCUUCCGAAAUCCACCCGAGGCCCUCGAGACCUCAACAAAAUACAUCAACCAGUCCUAAAACAUCAUACGAACUUAGUCGAAAUCUCAAAUCAUAUCAAAUAACGCUAAAACCGUGAAUCACACCUCAAUUCAAGCAUAAUGAACUAGGAACGUCCAACUUCUAUAUUCGAUGCAAAAACAUAUCAAAUCAAGUCCGAUUGACUUCAAAUUUUGCACACAAGUCAUAAAUAAUAUAAUGAAGCUAUGAAAAUUUUCGGAACUAGAUUCCGACCUCGAUAUCAAAAAGUCAACCCCCCGGUCAAACUUCCAAACUUAAAUUUUUUAUUUUCGCCAUUUCAAGCCUAAUUUAGCUACGAACCUCGAAAUAAAUAUCCGGACAUACUCCUAAGCCCGAAAUUACCUUACGGAGCUAUUGAAAUCAUCAAAAAUCCAUUCCGGGAUCAUUUACACAUAUUUCACUUUCCGGUCCAUUUAUUCAACUUAAGCUUCCAAAACAUGGAUUGUUCCUUCAAUUAAAUUUUGAAUCAUCUGAAAACAAAACUUGACCACUAUCGCAAGUCAUAAUACACAAAAAGACGCUACUGAAGACUUUAAAUAGCUUGACGGGAUAAAAAUGCUUAAAACGACAGGUCAGGUCGUUACACUAAAUAAUUACAUCCAAACUUGAGAUAAAACCCAAAUACACAAGCAAAUUGACAAUCACAAAAGUUAGAUAAAAUGAAUGGCAAAAGAAUUAAAAGAAGAACGCCAUAGGUGCCCCCAAGCGUUUCGCUUGUUUUCUUGCUAUUUGGUGCAUUCUAAGAAAGACGGUGUAGGAUGUGAUGACUCCAUGCUCGGGUAGUGUUGAGUCUCUAUGAGACUCCACUGCUAGAGUCUUGAAUUAAGACUCCAUUUGCUCCAAAAUGUACAUACAGAGAAUGGGAAAAGGAAAAGAAAAUUAGGGGAAGGAAUUUAAGUCUGUGAUAUACAAAAAUGGAACACACAAGACAAGUCUAUCUGCAACAACCUAGAAGCUUGAAAACAGUAGCAUACUACAUAAAAAUGAUUCUUAAAGGGAAGUAAUGAUUUAUAAUAUGAGUUAAGGGAAAAUCAAGCAAACAGGGAUACUUUCUACUACUUUACGUUAUUUAAAAAUAAAAAUGCGAGAAAAAAAAUCAUACCCAGUAAUAAGAUCUCUAAAAUAGAAUAUAUAUGAGUGCAUAUUAGUAUUCAUUAUUAGCUCAAGGGAAUGGGUCCUAAAUAAAGUGUUUUAAGCCUGAGGUCUAAAGGAAAAGUUUGACAGCAUGCGAAAUUGAAUAAACAUCUUCAAGUCCUACAAUUAUGACCUCUAGAUUUUUUCUACAAAAUAUCACUCCUACCACCUGAGAACACCAUAACGUUUUAACAAAAAAAAUCCUUUAAUUUACACAGUCCAAAAAUGAGUGAACGACGACAAAAUUAAUUAUCACGAUGACUAAUAAGUUAAAUGUGAACUGUUGAACUUAUAAGUAAGUUAUUUAGUUACGCGAUUUCAGAUAAUCAGGAUCCCCAGUAUAUUAAAAAAAUAAAAGAUUCAAUUCCAGAAUUCACUCAUAUAUAUUUAGCACUCGUUCUUAAUACAUUUUAGGAUACUUAAUCGAGAUAAGUGAAAAAGAUUAUGCCUUGUACAAUCUGAAUAACUUAAGGCUUAGUUUCAAGAGACAUAUAUUCAGUUUAUUAUCCUCAAAUUUUACAUAUAUCUUGAUCAUGUUUUGAACAUACAAACAUUUUAUAUGAGUAAGGUUCAGAACUAUCUACUAUUUAAUUUGCAAUAAACAUACGGACAACUGAAGCAUGGUCUUUAAGAAAGAGAAUCCUAGAGCAUGAUCUCUAAUGUAUGACCAAUAACUAAAGAAAAACUAGAACAUAUCAGCUAGCAAAAUUAGAUAUUGAUUUAUGCAUCAUUAACUAUCACAAGAAUACUCAAAAUACGAGGAGCAAACCAGAACUAGCAAUACGCUUAAACAGAUGAUAAAUCUUAUACAUGUUUUGACCAGAAGCAAAAAUGGGAAAAGAAGUGACCUUUUGCGGUGCAGUGAACUUGGGGCGUGCAAAUAGGUCUACUGUUUUCAGUCUAAGAUCCGCUAACUGGAACGACAGUCAAACUCCGAAAACAAAGACGGUAAUGCCUCUAUUAUAUGUUUACAGAACCAAGAGAGAAGCAAGCUUUUGGAAAGUGGUUUAAAGGAGUAAAAAUGGGAGAGGAGUAACGGCACAAGGGUCUGAAGCGGCGGAUACCAAGGUGCUGAAAAUAGUCACAAAGUCUGGUAUUUAUAGGUGUAAAAUUAGGGUUCUUGCUUCCUUUGAGCGGGAAUUUGAAAUUCGGAUUUCAAAAGAAGUCAAAUGGAUCCGUUUGAAUUUUAAUGUUGAAACCUUUUAGAUGGAUUGGAUCUUCACGUGAUUCUUCAGGGAUAUGCUUCAGGUUACACUCGAAAUGGUGAGAUAUGCUCUGCCACGUAUGGAUUUGAAGGUCAAACUUUGGCUAAAAAUGGAGAAAAAUGCCAAGAGAACUCUGCCAUAGCAGAGAAUGAAAGGGACAAUGGAGAGUGGGAAAGGGAAGGCUUCUGUUUCUGAGAGAGAAUAAGGGACCCUAGGUGAUUUUUGGAAUUGGGCUUUUGAG